GGCAGGCACCAGGCACUUCCUUCCAGUAGCAGCAGCUAGAAUCGUUUUGCAGCUUUCCCAGCACUCAGGAUGAGCUUCCUGGUCUGCCUCUGGAGCUGCCUGCUGUCCCCCAGCCCAGAUAAUUGGUAUGGUUGCUGCCUCCAGCCAGGACUGAUGGAUGCACGGUGUCAACAGAGCUGCCGUGAAAAAUAAACUUGUUCAUACGUGUAAA